GAUGAACGCUGGCGGCGUGCCUAAUACAUGCAAGUCGAGCGAACAGACGAGGAGCUUGCUCCUCUGACGUUAGCGGCGGACGGGUGAGUAACACGUGGAUAACCUACCUAUAAGACUGGGAUAACUUCGGGAAACCGGAGCUAAUACCGGAUAAUAUAUUGAACCGCAUGGUUCAAUAGUGAAAGACGGUUUUGCUGUCACUUAUAGAUGGAUCCGCGCCGCAUUAGCUAGUUGGUAAGGUAACGGCUUACCAAGGCAACGAUGCGUAGCCGACCUGAGAGGGUGAUCGGCCACACUGGAACUGAGACACGGUCCAGAAGCCUACGGGAGGCAGCAGUAGGGAAUCUUCCGCAAUGGGCGAAAGCCUGACGGAGCAACGCCGCGUGAGUGAUGAAGGUCUUCGGAUCGUAAAACUCUGUUAUUAGGGAAGAACAAAUGUGUAAGUAACUAUGCACGUCUUGACGGUACCUAAUCAGAAAGCCACGGCUAACUACGU
rnacentral:rRNA from 1 species